UGUGCUUUAGCCUGCUCCUUAGGUACUUGGGCUUGCUUCUUAGCUGCUUUGGCCUGCCUUUUUUCUGCUACCUUGGAAUGAACAGUUCUUCUGUAGACUCUCCCACCAUAGUCUUUCUGUCUUGAAACUAGCUGAUGAAAUCUAAAACCCGAGACAAAAUAAUCUCUUUCUCUUUAAAUUGUACGUGUCAGAUAUUUUGUCUCAGUGACAGCAAAGUCAUUUAUAUACCUCCAUUAUGUAUUCAAACUCUGAGACAGCUCUUCAGGUUUCUGCAAAUGCCCUUCUGAUCUUCUUUCUAAAAGAGAAAACAGGAAUUAAAUUUUAUUUCCUUCUCCACCCAAUGAAGUUUAAGUACUUCUGGAAAACCUAAUGCUCCUUCGGCCAGAAACUUCCAGGUAUGAAGGAAGCAAUUUUACUGGUGUUAUAUAAUCAUAGCCCCACAAAGUGGGAGGAGGAAAAUAAGAUCUCAGAAGCUUCUGAAAUGUCUUAAAGGAGGUCUUUUUUGUGAUGAUUAUCACAACUGAGGCAGCAUUCUACCUUAAUAAUACACCAAUGUGAUUACUGCUCUGGAACCUCUCAACUGUAUCAUACCUUUCCUUCCUUCCAUGACCUUUCUUCUUCCUUCCUGUCAGACAACAAUUUCUUUAACAAAUCCUUGGGAUUGAAAAACAGUCUUGGUCUCUUGAUAUUUUAAGGUCCCAUUUGUAUUGGAAUGGGUAAAGUUCCAACUGUUUUUCAAUGACAGGGAUGGAAGCAAGGAUAGGCUUAAAUAAAAGACACAAGACCUGGGGCCGAAUCUCAGUGUUAAAGCAUUUGUUAGCAUGUGUAGUGUUCUGAGUUUUACCUCCACAUGCUGGAGGUACUCUAUACCCUAUUUCUGUGGAUUGUAAUAUGAGACAUGUUUUUUUUUUUUUUUGUCUUUUUCAUUUUUAUCGGUACCAGGGAUCGAACUCACGACUGCCUGCUUGUAAGGCAGGUGCUUAUGCCCCUGAGCUAAAUCCCCAGCCCUGAGACAUGUUUUUAAGGAUGGUUAGGUGUGCCACUGUUUGCUCAGAAAUUUCUGACCGAUUAGGGGAAGUAUUAUCCACAGGCUUCAGAGUUCUGUCCUGUCCACAGAAUACCAUGUCACUAGGAAGUGAGUCAUUGGUUGUCCAUGGAGUCUAAGGCUUGGUCUUGACCUGCUUCUGGAGAAGUUGUUUAUCAUGUAACUUGGUUCCUCAUUUUAAGCAGUCAUGUUUUAGCUCACUUCUUGGGCAUCUGUAAAUUUUUACUGUUUUCUGGAUAUUCUUCUUAGCUUAAGGAGUAGAUAAUAAGCUAUAGUCAGGUAAAGCUGCUUUCAGGAAACUGUCCAAGACCACUAGUUUUGCUUCUCAUUACUUCUAGUUAGUGCAUGCUUCUUGGGAUUCUGCAUUUUCUAGUCUGUUGUAGUCUUCACACUGGCACCAUUAAUGCCAUCUUUGACUUCCUGAAGACACAGUUCAAGCUCCAUAUACAGAAAUUUGGUGAUAUGAAAACUACACUCUAAGUUUAUUCUUGCUGAAAUAAGAGCUCAAAAGACGAAGAUGGCAAUAACAUUGAGGAGGAUAAAUUUUUGGCUGCAGAACCCUGCUCAAUAUCCCUGAAACUGCAAAGGGGCCUUUACCAAUUCCACAUGGAAGGCCAGUUUUGUCAUGAGCUAUUUUGAAUAUCCAGUGAAAGGAUUUAUAAAUAUUUUUGACUAUGUGAAUGCGUAUAGCUGGAGUAAGACAGGGAGUAGAAACUUGGGGUGCAAGGAAGUCUUAAAGAAGGGCCCUCAACAUCAUAAUGAAGCACAUAGGAAUAAGACCACUCCAUAUGUACUUCAGCAGUAGUCAAAUGUGCUUGGCUUGAUGACAAUACUUUCUGAUCUGAACUUGGUGGAGAAAGGGAUUUCAGGAUUGCUUAUAGACUAGCUAUCACUGGUAACUUUGAUAAAAGCGUCCCUGGGCCAAGAUGUUGAAUCUCUCAGGGAUGAAUCUGGACAGGGAACAUGGAGAUACUGAGUUAUCCUAAGAGCCAAGACAAGACUCCCCAAACUCCCAGUUAGCCCAGGCAUUUUCAAAGAUCUUGUAUCUAAAUUAAGAACUUGUUGGUACAUUUUCAAAGAUCUUAUAUCUAAAUUAAGAACUUGUUGGUACAUUUUCAAAAAUCUUGUAUCUAAAUUAAGAACUUGUUGGUACUUUAAGAACCACUAAGUCAAAUAAAUAGCUGUACUGUACCUGUAAGAACAUUCUCCUGCUAGUCACACUGGCACACUGUGUGAUCAUAGCUACUCAGGAGCCUAGGCAGAAGGAUCACUUGAGGCCAAUAGUUCCAUACCUGUCUGGGCAACAUGAUGAGCUUCUGACUCAAAAGAAAAAAAAAAGAAAGAAAGAAAGAAAGAAAGAAAGAAAGAAAGAAAGAAAGAAAGAAAGGAGAAAGAAGUAUCCUUCCAACUGAUGUUUUUCAUACAUAUAUAUAUAUAUAUAUAUAUAUAUGAAAUAUAUUUACAUACAGACACUUUCCACAAUAUUUAGAGAAAUGGAACAAAUAAAUCUCUCCUCACAUUUUUCAGACAAGAUACAUAUGUAGUACAGGCUGUUUCUGAAAUUACUAACUUCCUGCCUUGUUCUCAAGGGCUGAGAUUAAAGGCAUGUGUUGCCACACUUGGCUCGUCCCAUAUCAGUUUUGUCCUUGGAAGUUUGUUUUCAUUCAUGCCAAAAGUAACCAGUAAUGUCAACCAUUCUUGUUUCACUUUAAAUGUGAACACACACACACACACACACACACACACACACCCCUGUAGAAUUUUCAGGUGCAAAUGACCAUACAGAUACAUUAAUAACAUACUCUUUUCCACUUAUCACUUACAUAACCUGUGUAAAAAAAAGCUAGAUAGGUAAUUGUUUGCUUUUCUGUUUCUGUUCCUAGGGAAAUGGAUUGGCAAGAUGACAUGUCUAAUAAGCUAGGACUCAGUAUCUAAUGGGGAUUCAGAAAGAUGAGUUGCUAUAAAUUCCUCCCCUACUAAAAAACCCUAAGACAUUUCCAAGCUUUAUUAUUUAUUUCUUUGUCCAACCUCUGAGCCUUGUCUGGUGAAGCAGGUUACAAGGACAACCCACAGUAUAAUGAUAUCAGAGGAAAGAAACUGGAUUCCAGGGAGAAAACUGAAGCCCAGAGGCCAAGCUGGUUUGAAGAGGAUGACUUUGGAAAGGAAAAACAAUGAGUCACUUAUAAAGCUCCUGACUACAACAACAUCCCAGCACCAAAGGACUAGAAACUGAUGCAAAUAGAUACUUAAUCUCAAGUAGGAUCUUGAUACAGGCACAAACUAAGAACCUUAUACAAACAGAAGAUCUCAGAAGAACGGACAUUUCCUAGAGAGCCUUGAUACAAGUGAUAAUGCUGCCUACUACAAAAUCCUGCAAAGAUAAUGCAGAAAGAAAAAUAAAAACUUUUAGAAUAGAAAAUCACAAGAUGCAGAGCACAAUGCAAUCUCCAAACUCCAGCAUACACAGAACAAGUCUAGCCAACAAGACAGAGGAAGUAGAAAACACACACCUGAAAUUUCUGAAGUGAUAGCAAACAAAGUAAGAAAACAAUUCCUGAUCAAAAAUGAUACCUCAAGUUAAAAAAGAAAUGGCAAUGAUAAUGAAGGAAUUACUCAGGAAAUCUACAGAAGACAUAGAUAAAAAAGUACAAGAAAAUAAAAAAUGAUAAGUGAAUAAUAUAGGAAAUAAAUAGAAUGGGUGCAAGAGACUCAAUAAACAAAUAAGAAACUGAAAAUUCCAUUGAAAUCUUGCAAAACCACUUGAAUGAAACUGAAGCUAGACAUUCAGAACUUUAAGACAGAACUUUGCCUAGCAAGGAUGAAAGAAAAGAUCUAAAAUUACAAAGAUCAAGGAAAACAAUUCAGUAGCUGCAAGACAAUGCAAUGAAAAAAUAAUAUAAGACUGGUGUCAAUGAAAUAACAGAAGUCAACACAAAUGACAUAAAUAGGCUAUGGACUGAAGUAAUAACAGAAAAUUUUCUAAGCAUGGGAAAAGAACAUGACAUACUAAUAGGUGAAGCAUAUAGAACACCAAUUAAUCAAGAUCCAACAAAUUCAGCAAAAUAAUAUAAUAUUAAAAACUGUUAGAGAAAAGAAACAGAUCAUGUAUAAAAGAAAAUCUAUCAAAAUCAUGGCACACUUCUCAAUGCAAACACUCAAGUCUAGAAAAACUUGGGUGGAAGUAUUUCAAGGCCUGAAAUAAAGCAACUUCCAACACAAGUUGAUGUGUCCUGCAAAAUUAUCUUUCAAAAUUAAUGGAGAAAAAAGACACUCCUACGACAGAGAAUAACUGAAAAAAAUUCACGACCAACAAACCAACUGUACAAAGGACCCUGAAAGAUAUUCUAGACAGAGAUAAAAAUGACCACAUUUCCAACAGCUACAGAAAGAAACCACCAGGCAGGGCAAUCAACUUAACUGAGGGCAAAUGCAAGGAACCAAGAACAAGGAAAUAUCAUGUUAAAGAUAAGCCAAUAUAUAUGAGUUAUAAUUAUCAAUGCAAAUGACUUCAAUUCACCAGUCAAAAGAAACUGACUGGCAUAAUGAAUGGAUCAAGAAACAAGAUUCACCAAUAUGCUGUAUACAAGAAAAAUGUUUAACUUAAAUAGAAGCUUAAAGACUGAAAAUAAAAGAAUGGACAACCAUCUCACAUGUAAAAAGAACUCAGAAAAAUGCAGGAGUAGUUUUGGGUUUGCAGAUAAUGUGAACUUCAAAUCAGGAAUGAUAAAAAAGAUACAGAAUGUCACUAUAUACUUGUUAGGGAAAUAUUUCAAGAUGCAUCAAAUACCAAUCCACACAUCUAUAUAAAACAAAUAUUAAUAUACAUGAAAAAUCAAGUAAGGAAUAUAAAAUUUUAGCAGGGAAAUUUAAUAUUCCACUGUCACAAAUAUAUAAAUUUACCUUACAAAAAUCAAUAAAGAAGUACCAGAAAUGACCCAAACAUGUGAAAAAAUGUACUUAGUAGACGUUUACAGAGCAUUACACUCAACACCAGAACAUACAUUCGUUUCACUUGCACAUGAGACAUUAUCUAAAAUAGACCAUAUACUACUCAUAGAACAUGUGUAAGUAAGCGCAAAGGAAUUGAAGUUAUCCCGUGCAUAUUAUAUGACCACAAUCAGUAAAGUUGGAAAUUAACAUCAAAAGAAACCAUAAAAGCUCCAUAAACAUAUGGAAAUUAAACAACUCUUUCCUGAACAAUGAAUGGGUUGCAUUGAACACAACUGUUUGCAGUCUCACUGUUUGAAUGUCCACUUUAUAUGCUUUAAUUUUGUAACUUGAACAACUAUUUCUGUGAUGACAAUAUGUAAUCUAUUAACUAGUGAUUUCUUACUGUUUAUUAUUUUGAAAUUCUAUAUUACUUGUACCCUUUUACUGUUUUUUUCUUUA